rnacentral:rRNA from 1 species
AACGAACGCUGGCGGCAUGCUUCAUACAUGCAAGUCGAACGGUUGUAGCAAUACAAUAGUGGCGAACGGGUGCGUAACACGUGGAUAAUCUGCCCUUUGGCGGGGGAUAUCGGCUGGAAACGGCCGGCAAUACCGCAUGUGGCCUACGGGGUUCCGACCCUGUAGAAGAAAGGCGCUUCACGGCGUCGCCAGAGGAUGAGUCCGCGGCCCAUUAGCUAGUUGGUGAGAUAAUAGCCCACCAAGGCUGUGAUGGGUAGCCGAGCUGAGAGGUUGAUCGGCCACACUGGGACUGAGACACGGCCCAGACACCUACGGGUGGCAGCAGUAGGGAAUAUUGGACAAUGGGCGAAAGCCUGAUCCAGCAAUGCCGCGUGAGUGACGAAGGAUUUCGGUCUGUAAAGCUCUUUUGUGAGGGAAGAAAUGACGCGUGAGGAAAUGCUCGCGUCUUGACGGUACCUCAUGAAUAAGGGACGGCUAACUCCGUG